UGCCAGACUCCUACGGGAGGCAGCAGUGGGGAAUAUUGCACAAUGGGGGAAACCCUGAUGCAGCGACGCCGCGUGAGCGAUGAAGUAUUUCGGUAUGUAAAGCUCUAUCAGCAGGGAAGAAGAUGACGGUACCUGACUAAGAAGCCCCGGCUAACUACGUGCCAGCAGCCGCGGUAAUACGUAGGGGGCAAGCGUUAUCCGGAUUUACUGGGUGUAAAGGGAGCGUAGACGGCGAUGCAAGCCAGAUGUGAAAGCCCGGGGCUCAACCCCGGGACUGCAUUUGGAACUGUGUGGCUGGAGUGUCGGAGAGGCAGGCGGAAUUCCUAGUGUAGCGGUGAAAUGCGUAGAUAUUAGGAGGAACACCAGUGGCGAAGGCGGCCUGCUGGACGAUGACUGACGUUGAGGCUCGAAAGCGUGGGGAGCAAACAGGAUUAGAUACCCUUGUAG
rnacentral:rRNA from 1 species